rnacentral:rRNA from 1 species
UACGUAAGGGGCUAGCGUUAUCCGGAAUUACUGGGCGUAAAGGGUGCGUAGGUGGUUUCUUAAGUCAGAGGUGAAAGGCUACGGCUCAACCGUAGUAAGCCUUUGAAGCUGGGAAACUUGAGUGCAGGAGAGGAGAGUGGAAUUCCUAGUGUAGCGGCGAAAUGCGUAGAUAUUAGGAGGAACACCAGUUGCGAAGGCGGCUCUCUGGACUGUAACUGACACUGAGGCACGAAAGCGUGGGGAGCAAACAGG